GGAUGCUGAAGCUGUUUGGACUGCAGGUGCAUAAGUCCCGGCACUUUUUUCCGCCAUCAGCGCUAUUACACUAUCCCUACCAUCGUGCAGGCCUGGGGGAAUGAGCAGAGGGGAAUCAUCAGGGAGUUGAAGGAGACUGGGGGUGGAUUGAUCCUGUCUGGUGACUGCAGAUCAGAUUCUCCUGGACACUGUGCCAAAUAUGGUAGCUACUCUUUGAUUGAGGAUCGAAUUAACAAAGUUAUGGAUGUUCAGCCUGUCCAAAGCUCAGAAGUCCCAAGCAGCUUUUGGUGUGAGCUAGAGGGUCUAAAGCGGAGUAUGCAGUUCCUGAUGG